CGUCGGAUUGCACAAACCGUGGUAUUACCAACCGAAUGAGUUGUUAGUUUCGGAUGAAUUAGACGAAGAAUGUCCUCUGUUGCGGUACAUUUUUGAAGAGGAACAAUCGAGGUAUCAAACGGACGACGAGCGUCAUGAGCUAUGGUCGG
rnacentral:sRNA from 1 species